rnacentral:rRNA from 1 species
GACGAACGCUGGCGGCGCGCUUAACACAUGCAAGUCGAGCGAGAACCUGGGCUUCGGCCCUGGGGACAGCGGCGAACGGGUGAGUAACACGUGGGUAAUCUGCCCUUGACAUCGGGAUAGCCCGGGGAAACCCGGGUUAAUACCGAAUAGCCUCCGGAGCCUUCGGGCGCCGGAGAAAAGGUAGCUUCGGCCUCUGGUCGAGGAUGAGCCCGCGGCGGAUUAGCUUGUUGGCGGGGUAACGGCCCACCAAGGCGACGAUCCGUAGCUGGUCUGAGAGGACGAUCAGCCACACUGGGACUGAGACACGGCCCAGACUCCUACGGGAGGCAGCAGUGGGGAAUCUUGCGCCAAUGCGGGAAACCGUGACGCAGCGACGCCGCGUGGGGGAAGAAGGCCUUCGGGUUGUAAACCUCUUUCAGGAGGGACGAAGCUACUCGGGUUAAUAGCCCAGAGGGUGACGGUACCUCCAGAAGAAGCCCCGGCUAACUACGUGCCAGCAGCCGCGGUAAUAC